rnacentral:rRNA from 1 species
GACGAACGCUGGCGGCGUGCUUAACACAUGCAAGUCGAACGGCAAGGCACUGCUAUUUUGGGGUGAUGGAGUGGCAAACGGGUGAGUAGCACGUGAGUAACCUGCUCUUGUCUUUGGGGUGACUUCAGGAAACGGGGGCUAAUCCAGGAUAGCAGCUCACGCUGCAGGGAGGGGGUUGGAAAGUUUAGGCGGUCGGGGAUGGAUUCGCGGAUUAUGAGCUUGUUGGUGGGGGAGUGGCUUACCCAGGCUUUGACGGAUAGGCGGCCUGAGAGGGUGAACGGCCACAUGGGUACUGCGAUACGGCGCAGUCGCCUACGGUGGGCAGCAGUGGGGAAUAUGGCACAAUGAGCGGGCGUCGGAUGCAGCGACGUCGCGUUCGUGAUGACGGCCUUCGGGUUGUAAACCGCUUUCGCCUGUUACGAAGCGGGAGUGACGGUAAUGGAUAAAGAAGCACCGGCUAACUACGUG